UCCCCGCCUUAAAAUACACUGUAAGACAAUAUUUGUAUUUUAACUCGCAUCUAAGAUUUUUAACUUUGUGUGAUUUGGGGAGUGUGUGUGUGUGAUGCGGGGGGAGAGGGAAAGGGAGACGACGAAGGGAAGAACAUCCCUGUAGGAGGCAGCUCCCUUUCAGAUAGGAAUCUGGGACAGAUUUUGCCAGCAGCCACAAAGCAUGGCCCUUUGGUAAUAGAAUAGCCAAUGUAAUUUGACACUUCAACUUGCUGUGCUCUCUGCUAGUUGAUUCACUUACUCACCCACUAACAUUGAGCUCCUUUUCACUGUCUGUGGGCAAGGGGAAAAAAAAAAAGGGGGGGAAGGAAGAAAAAAGAAAGCGGGGGGGGAAGGAAGAAAGAAAGGGAAUAAACAAAAUUAUAUAUUUAAAAAUACCCAAGUAGAGCUGCAAAUCAGUUGGGGAGAGAGGAUUUUGCCUGCCUUCUUCCUUAUUAUUUUGCUGCUGCAAGGCUGCUUUGCAAUCCGUAGGAAAUACUGUGGUGCUG